rnacentral:rRNA from 1 species
CAACGACUCUCGGCAACGGAUAUCUCGGCUCUCGCAUCGAUGAAGAACGUAGCGAAAUGCGAUACUUGGUGUGAAUUGCAGAAUUCCGUGAAUCAUCGAGUCUUUGAACGCAAGUUGCGCCCGAAGCCGUCAGGCCGAGGGCACGUCUGCCUGGGCGUCACGC